rnacentral:rRNA from 1 species
ACUCCUACGGGAGGCAGCAGUGGGGAAUAUUGCACAAUGGGGGAAACUCUGAUGCAGCGACGCCGCGUGAGGGAAAGAAGGUUUUAGGAUUGUAAACCUCUGUCUUCAGGGAAAAAAAGACGGUACCU